rnacentral:rRNA from 1 species
GACGUAGGGCGCGAGCGUUGUCCGGAUUUAUUGGGCGUAAAGAGCUCGUAGGCGGCUUGUCGCGUCGUCCGUGAAAACCUGCAGCUCAACUGCAGGCUUGCGGUCGAUACGGGCAGACUAGAGUUCGGUAGGGGAGACUGGAAUUCCUGGUGUAGCGGUGAAAUGCGCAGAUAUCAGGAGGAACACCGGUGGCGAAGGCGGGUCUCUGGGCAUGUCCUGACGCUGAGGAGCGAAAGUGUGGGGAGCGAACAGG